UACGUAGGUGGCAAGCGUUGUCCGGAAUUAUUGGGCGUAAAGCGCGCGCAGGCGGUCUCUUAAGUCUGAUGUGAAAUCUCGCGGCUCAACCGUGAGCGGUCAUUGGAAACUGGGAGACUUGAGUGCAGAAGAGAAGAGCGGAAUUCCACGUGUAGCGGUGAAAUGCGUAGAGAUGUGGAGGAACACCAGUGGCGAAGGCGGCUCUUUGGUCUGUAACUGACGCUGAGGCGCGAAAGCGUGGGAAUCAAACAGU
rnacentral:rRNA from 1 species